CUGCUGAGGAGUCCCAUAAUAGGACGAAACGGCCGUCCAGUGC
rnacentral:hammerhead_ribozyme from 1 species